ACUUGACACCGCUUCUCAACGGUCGCCAGCGUAUGCGCGGGGCAGCUUGAGCUCCUGGUUGUUGUGAUUACUCAGACCUUACUCACCCGGGCGCGCACAGUAGCCGGAGCAAAGGCGGCAGCGAUUGGCGGUGGCAGCACGGGUCUCGCGUUGCCCCUUUGCCCCCUUUUCGCGUGUCACUCACCGCAGUGGGCACAGAGGGACGCCUCAGGCUUGGCCAUCACGUGAGGUCAUCACCGAGCGAGGGAGGCGGAGAAAGAAUUGAAGUGAGAGAGAGAGAGAGAGACAUGAAAAAAGACAUAAAAAAACAUGAAUAAUGAAAGAGAGAAGAAGACAAAAGAGAUGGGGACUGGCGUGGUUAUAUUUCACGUUGCAAGAGAAGAGUGAGAGACAAAAGAGCCUGAUGGGAAAGGAUCAUGGCAGUGGCACUAUCAUAAAUAUUACUGCAGAAGCUGCUGACGAGAGGGGGUUUUCUGUCCUGCAAGCAAUCUGGCAUUUCACUCCCGGGUCUGACACACCAGACCCCCUUUGCUGGAUCCAAUCAGCAGAAAAUUGUUUGGGUUGCCACAGGCUACUGCACCUUACCAGACGGCAAAGAUAACCAAGAACAGAGAGGCAUUGUCAAGUAAGAAAGUGUCAAGGAAAGAGACAGAGAAAAAACAAUCCUGUCUGGUCUCCCUCAGUCAGACCGCUGGGCGUGGGCGUGAAGAACACUGGCUAAACCCAGCUCCAGAGCAACAAGCUCAGGGUUCAAAGUUCACAGGUGUGGGCACCACCGGCUCAGGGCCACCGCUUAGACGGACCGCACCCCCCCUGUCCGCACACCUGCUGACCUGAGCUAUGUGGGUGGGACAGGGCUUCAGUUGUGUGUGUCCCUAUCAUUACCUCGGCUCACAGGUGUGGUGUGGGGCAUUUAACCUUGACCUCAGACUGAGCCGCGAUUUCAUAAACGCGUCGUUUUCCCCUCAUCCAGCCAGGAGUUUCUUUUCCAAAGGAACAGCACAAGUGUGCCAUCACAGUGGGUUCUGUUCAACAGCUGCUUGUUUGGCAUCUCACUGCAUGAUGACACUAUCAGAGCUGAAGUACAGGGACACACAAAUAAACCUGAUUUUUGUCUA